GACGAACGCUGGCGGAAUGCUUUACACAUGCAAGUCGAACGGCAGCACGGACUUCGGUCUGGUGGCGAGUGGCGAACGGGUGAGUAAUACAUCGGAACGUGCCCAGUCGUGGGGGAUAACGUAGCGAAAGCUACGCUAAUACCGCAUACGAUCUAAGGAUGAAAGCGGGGGAUCGCAAGACCUCGCGCGAUUGGAGCGGCCGAUGGCAGAUUAGGUAGUUGGUGGGGUAAAGGCUCACCAAGCCGACGAUCUGUAGCUGGUCUGAGAGGACGACCAGCCACACUGGGACUGAGACACGGCCCAGACUCCUACGGGAGGCAGCAGUGGGGAAUUUUGGACAAUGGGGGCAACCCUGAUCCAGCAAUGCCGCGUGAGUGAAGAAGGCCUUCGGGUUGUAAAGCUCUUUUGUCAGGGAAGAAACACCGGCUCUAACACAGUCCGGGAAUGACGGUACCUGAAGAAUAAGCACCGGCUAACUAUGUGCCAGCCGCCGCGGUAA
rnacentral:rRNA from 1 species